AAGACUAUACUUUCAGGGAUCAUUUCUAUAGUGACUGACUAGGAAAUGUUUUGAAAGUGCUCCAUCUUCCUAAUUAUGAUGAUGAGUUAUGACGUACUCUUCUUAACAUGAACCAGGUUUCAGCUUGUGAGUUUUUCAUGCUCUUAAACUGUUAAUGAAUGUUCUCUGUUUCUUAGGGGAUGUGAAAGGAAGUGUACAUGAUCAGAGUGAU